rnacentral:rRNA from 1 species
CGUUGAUAGGCCGGGUGUGUAAGCGCAGCGAUGCGUUGAGCUAACCGGUACUAAUGAACCGUGAGGCUUAACCUUA